rnacentral:tRNA from 1 species
GCCUGGGUGGCUCAGUGGUUGAGCGCCUGCCUUUGGCCCAGAACAUGAUCCUGGAGACCUGGGGUCGAGUCCCACAUCAGGCU